AGGAAAAAUCCGCCUUAAGAUGAAUCGUUAAUUUAUAGAGAUAGGUAGUUGUUAAGGUAAUGGCUUAACUAGCCAAUUAUUCUCUUAGUCGAAACUGAAAUGGUUGAUCGACCACAUUGGGGAUGAGAAAAUCCCAAGGCAAGCGAGUACAGCAGUGGGGAAUUUUGGUCAAUGGCCUAACGGCUGAACUGGCAACUUGGAGGAAUGGCCUAUCUUACUAGAUAAUAGUAGGACAUAGAGUGAAAUGGUUAAAUCGAAUAUCGAAUAAAAUUCUAAAUAUAUAAUUUAUAAUGACAAUAUAUAUUUAUGUCUUGACUAAUUACGUGCCAGCAGUCGCGGUAAUACGUAAGAGACUAGUGUUAUUCAUCUUUAAUAGGUUUAAAGGGUACCCAAACGGAAUAAAUUUGCCUGAAAAGGAACAAUUUAUAUCUAGAGUUUAAGAAGAAAAGGUAGUACCUAAGGAGUAGAGAUAGAAUUCGUUUAUACCAAUAGGGACAGGUAAAGGCGAAGGCAACCUUUUAUGUAAAAACUGACGUUGAAGGACGAAGGCUAAGGGCGCGAACAGGAUUAGAUACCCUAGUAGUCUUAGCAGUAAAUUAUGAAUGCCAUAAGUUGGAUUAUAUUCUAAUUUAUAAAUGAAAGUGUAAGCAUUUCACCUCAAGAGUAAUGUGGCAACGCAGGAACUGAAAUCACUAGGCCGUUUCUGACAUCAGUAAUGAAGUAUGUUAUUUAAUUCGAUGAUCCACGAAAAACCUUACCACAAUUAGAAUUAUUCUUGUAUUAUAUUUAAUAUAAUAUAUGAAUAACGAGUGUUGCACGGCUGUUUCCAGUUAAUGUUGUGAAACUGUGGCUUUAGCCAAGAAAUUAACGAAAACCCUAGCUUUAUUUAUAAAAUAUUUUUUUAUAAAGCUGCUUUUAUCAUUAUAUCGAUAAAAUAAUAGGGCCUAAGACAAGUCAUCAUGGCCUUUAUAUUGUGGGCUAUAGACGUGCCACAUAUACCUAUACAAAGAGAUGCAAAAAUGAGAAUUUAAGCUAAUCUCGAAAAUAGGAUAAAAAAGAUAAGGAUUGUAGUCUGUAACUCGACUAUAUGAAUAAGUAAUUACUAGUAA
rnacentral:rRNA from 1 species